rnacentral:rRNA from 1 species
CAAUAGCGUAUAUUAAAGUUGUUGCGGUUAAAAAGCUCGUAGUUGGAGUUCUGCCAGGUGCCGUCUGUCCGCCCCAGUGGUGAGUACGUGACGCGCAUUUGGCCCUUUCAAGGGGAGCGUAUCUGCACUUUACUGUGUGGUGCGGGAUCCUUGACUUUUACUUUGAGGAAAUAGGAGUGUUCCAAGCAGGCUCUCGUCGUGCACAGCUCAGCAUGGAAUAAUAGCAUUGGACCUCGAUUCUAAGCUGUUGGUUGCCAGAAGCGAGGUAAUGAUGAAGAGGGAUAGUUGGGGGCAUUCGUAUUUAACUGUCAGAGGUGAAAUUCUUGGACUUGUUAAAGACGGACUACUGCGAAAGCAUCUGCCAUGGAUGUUUUCAUUGA